GGGAGGCAAAAAACAAGCAGGUUCACCUAAUCCUUGUGUCGGAAUCGAAAGAGAUCGAUCAGGAUGGUUGAUUCUUACGAGCCAACCUUGCAUGAAUGACCGCUGAAAGUAUUUUUUCAAAUUUCGGGAGGAAUUGAUUCGGGCUGGCCACUCCAAGAGGUGAAUUGGUGAACGAGGUCGGGCUGGUAAGUGAUUAGCCCUAAUUAGGGUUCAGACGUAGAUUCCCAAUUAUCUGCAAUCAGCUUCUGCAACUCUGAUUUGCAGCGAUGACUGAGUACUGGGUUAGCCAGGGCAACAAAUGGUGUGAUUUCUGCAAAAUCUUCAUAGCAAACAAUCCAUCUAGCAUUAGAAAUCAUGAGCUCGGUCAACGUCACAAGGAUAGUGUUGCCAAGAGGCUUGACACUAUGCGAAAAGAGGGUGCUGCCAAGGAAAAGCAACAAAAGGAAGCCGCCCGUGCCCUUGAGCAAAUUGAAGCAAAAGCAAAACGGAGCUAUCAGAAGGAUAUAGCAAAUCUUCAAGAAGCCAGAGAUUCUCAUGCCCAAGCAUUAAAUUCUCAAGAAGAAGGUGAAGAGAAAUGGGAGCAUGACAGCGGUUCAGGCUAUUAUUACAACCAAAGCAAUGGCUUUUACUAUGACCCAAACUCAGGAUUUUACUAUUCUGAUGCAAUAGGCAAGUGGGUGACACAGGAAGAGGCAUAUGCCACACCACAGUUUUCUUCAUAUUUUAAACAUAGAGAACCCACUUUGAAACGGCCAUUGUCUGCUUCCGAGGUAGGAUCAGUCACAGAAAGUAAAGGUGCUGCUAAAGUUCAAAAUAGGCCAGCACCUGGGCCUGUUGUUUCCACUUCUUUAAAUCCCAUGAGAUCUGUUAAAGGUGCUCCAUCAUCACUUACUGUUGGCAAGAGGAAGAGGCAAGACGAGAAGCCAAAGGUUCUAUCCAAAGAAGAAGCAACUGCACUUAAAGCAAGGGAGGCUGCAAAGAAGAGAGUUGAAGAGAGAGAGAAACCUUUGCUGGGCCUCUACAAGGCUCUUUGAUUUGAACACUAAAGCACGUUUCUCUGCUUGACACAAUUUGUAGGCUUUCUGAUUUUUCUUUUCAAUCAUGUUCUUAUCUCCAUUGGACUUUAGCAUAUAGUUGACACGCUACCCUAUACAGUAGAUAAAGAACCAGAAUGUUUGCAUCCAUCUACAUAUUUCCCUCCCAGUCAUGCUUCAUAUGAUUGCCAGGAUUAUGCACUUCGCAAUCAUGUUGUCAGGAUUAUGCGUUCUCAUAGUGCAUCGUGGGUCUUAUCAUAUCAUUUGGCUGGUCUGAAUAAGAAAACUGUGAUUGGUUCUUGAAGGUUAUUUGCGUAGGCCAGCUACAAAGGAACAUGUAUGGUCAACCCCACAUUGUUUUCCAUCCCAAGUAAAAGGUGGUCCAAAAUCUCAACUUCUGAUCUGGUUUCUCUCAUCCUAACUCUCUUAUUAAUGAAAACUGUUUUUUAUAUUGCCAAAAUUCGGUGAAUGAAGAAACCGUGUGUGAUUGUGGUAGCUUUGGUAAUGUAUGUUUUAACAGUUGGCCUGUCAAAUGCACACUUUGGGUUAAAAUAACUUCAUAUCCGUCACGUUUUA